rfam:Leadbetterella byssophila DSM 17132, complete genome.
CACGGUGUCAAUAGGAUGGGUGUUCACCUCUUCCCAUUUCGAACAGAGCAGUUAAGCCCCAUACCGCCGAUGGUACUUGGAUCAAACCAGGGAGAGUAGGUAGACGCCGGUU